UGUGCCAUGUUCUGUUUAUAGUUGCUGUGCAGAACACAUCAUCCACUGAGUUGGCCGUCAUCCCACCGGUUGGAUCUACCGAGCUUCCGACUUGUCCUGUUUGCAUAGAAAGGUUGGAUCAAGACAUCAGCGGAAUUGGGGCUACUAAUUGUGACCAUUCUUUCCAGUGUUCAUGCGUUUCAAUGUGGGUCAGUUCAUCUUGUCCGGUUUGUCAGUUCUGUCAGAAGCUGUCUGAGGCUCCUACAAAUCCUACAUGUUCUGUUUGCCAGACCUCUGAAAACCUCUGGU